UAGGGAAUCUUCGGCAAUGGACGAAAGUCUGACCGAGCAACGCCGCGUGUGUGAAGAAGGUUUUCGGAUCUUAAAACUCUGUUGUUAGAGAAGAACAAGGACGUUAGUAACUGAACGUCCCCUGACGGUAUCUAACCAGAAAGCCACGGCUAACUACGUGCCAGCAGCCGCGGUAAUACGUAGGUGGCAAGCGUUGUCCGGAUUUAUUGGGCGUAAAGCGAGCGCAGGCGGUUUCUUAAGUCUAAUGUGAAAGCCCCCGGCUCAACCGGGGAGGGUCAUUGGAAACGGGGAGACUUAAGUGCAGAAGGGGGGAGUGGAAUUCCAUGUGUAGCGGUGAAAUGCGUAGAUAUAGGGAGGAACACCAGUGGCGAAGGCGGCUCUCUGGUCUGUAACUGACGCUGAGGCUCGAAAGCGUGGGGAGCAAACAGG
rnacentral:rRNA from 1 species